AUGCGAAAGCAUUUGCCAAGAAUGUUUUCAUUAAUCAAGAACGAAAGUCAGAGGUUCGAAGACGAUCAGAUACCGUCCUAGUUCUGACCAUAAACGAUGCCGACUGGCACUCAGCCGAGUUGUUCCAAUGACCCGGCUGGUGGCCUCCGUGAAAACUCAAGUCUUUGGGUUCCGGGGGAAGUAUGGUUGCAAAGCUGAAACUUAAAGGAAUUGACGGAAGGGCACCACCAGGAGUGGAGCCUGCGGCUUAAUUUGACUCAACACGG
rnacentral:rRNA from 1 species